AGCAGCCGCGGUAAUUCCAGCUCCAAUAGCGUAUAUUAAAGUCGUUGCAGUUAAAAAGCUCGUAGUUGAAUUUCGGAAUCAGUACGCUGGUCGUGCCUUCGGUAUGUACUGGUGUCACUGAUUCCUCCCUUCUGAAGAACCAUCAUGCCAUUCACUUGGUGUGGUGGGGAAUCAGGACUGUUACUUUGAAAAAUUAGAGUGUUUAAAGCAGGCUCGCGCUUGAAUACAUUAGCAUGGAAUAAUGAAAUAGGACGUUAAUCCUAUUUUGUUGGUUUCUAGGAUCGACGUAAUGAUUAAUAGGGAUAGUUGGGGGCAUUAGUAUUCAAUUGUCAGAGGUGAAAUUCUUGGAUUUAUUGAAGACUAACUACUGCGAAAGCAUUUGCCAAGGAUGUUUUCAUUAAUCAAGAACGAAAGUUAGGGGAUCGAAGACGAUCAGAUACCGUCGUAGUCUUAACCAUAAACUAUGCCGACUAGGGAUCGG
rnacentral:sRNA from 1 species